rnacentral:pre_miRNA from 1 species
AGUUGAAUAACUGGGUCAAAUUGUGGUUCAAUUCCAGAUUUUCUGAGGAAUCUCCAUACUGCUUUCCAGAGUGGUUGCAUCAAUUUGCAGUCCCACCACCAAU